rnacentral:rRNA from 1 species
AUACGUAGGUGGCAAGCGUUAUCCGGAUUUACUGGGUGUAAGGGCGCGUAGGCGGGGGUGCAAGUCAGAUGUGAAAUCUAUGGGCUUAACUCAUAAACUGCAUUUGAAACUGUAUCUCUUGAGUGCUGGAGAGGUAGACGGAAUUCCUUGUGUAGCGGUGAAAUGCGUAGAUAUAAGGAAGAACACCAGUGGCGAAGGCGGUCUACUGGACAGUAACUGACGCUGAGGCGCGAAAGCGUGGGGAGCAAACAGGAUUAGAUACCCUGGUAGUCCACGCUGUAAACGAUGAAGACUAGGUGUGGGGGGACUGACCCCCUCCGUGCCGCAGUUAACACAAUAAGUAUUCCACCUGGGGAGUACGGCCGCAAGGUUGAAACUCAAAUGAAUUGACGGGG